rnacentral:rRNA from 1 species
UGUUUCGGCUAGGGGGCCAUCCCGGCUUACCAACCCGAUGCAAACUGCGAAUACCGGAGAAUGUUAUCACGGGAGACACACGGCGGGUGCUAACGUCCGUCGUGAAGAGGGAAACAACCCAGACCGCCAGCUAAGGUCCCAAAGUCAUGGUUAAGUGGGAAACGAUGUGGGAAGGCCCAGACAGCCAGGAUGUUGGCUUAGAAGCAGCCAUCAUUUAAAGAAAGCGUAAUAGCUCACUGGUCGAGUCGGCCUGCGCGGAAGAUGUAACGGGGCUAAACCAUGCACCGAAGCUGCGGCAGCGACGCUGAUGCGUUGUUGGGUAGGGGAGCGUUCUGUAAGCCUGCGAAGGUGGCCUGUGAGGGUUGCUGGAGGUAUCAGAAGUGCGAAUGCUGACAUAAGUAACGAUAAAGCGGGUGAAAAGCCCGCUCGCCGGAAGACCAAGGGUUCCUGUCCAACGUUAAUCGGGGCAGGGUGAGUCGACCCCUAAGGCGAGGCCGAAAGGCGUAGUCGAUGGGAAACGGGUUAAUAUUCCCGUACUUGGUGUUACUGCGAAGGGGGGACGGAGAAGGCUAUGUUGGCCGGGCGACGGUUGUCCCGGUUUAAGCGUGUAGGUGUGUGUUCCAGGUAAAUCCGGUUCACUUUAACACUGAGGCGUGAUGACGAGGCACUACGGUGCUGAAGCAACAAAUGCCCUGCUUCCAGGAAAAGCCUCUAAGCAUCAGGUAACAUCAAAUCGUACCCCAAACCGACACAGGUGGUCAGGUAGAGAAUACCAAGGCGCUUGAGAGAACUCGGGUGAAGGAACUAGGCAAAAUGGUGCCGUAACUUCGGGAGAAGGCACGCUGACACGUAGGUGAAGUGAUUUACUCAUGGAGCUGAAGUCAGUCGAAGAUACCAGCUGGCUGCAACUGUUUAUUAAAAACACAGCACUGUGCAAACACGAAAGUGGACGUAUACGGUGUGACGCCUGCCCGGUGCCGGAAGGUUAAUUGAUGGGGUCAGCGCAAGCGAAGCUCCUGAUCGAAGCCCCGGUAAACGGCGGCCGUAACUAUAACGGUCCUAAGGUAGCGAAAUUCCUUGUCGGGUAAGUUCCGACCUGCACGAAUGGCGUAAUGAUGGCCAGGCUGUCUCCACCCGAGACUCAGUGAAAUUGAACUCGCUGUGAAGAUGCAGUGUACCCGCGGCAAGACGGAAAGACCCCGUGAACCUUUACUAUAGCUUGACACUGAACAUUGAGCCUUGAUGUGUAGGAUAGGUGGGAGGCUUUGAAGUGUGGACGCCAGUCUGCAUGGAGCCGACCUUGAAAUACCACCCUUUAAUGUUUGAUGUUCUAACGUGGACCCGUGAUCCGGGUUGCGGACAGUGUCUGGUGGGUAGUUUGACUGGGGCGGUCUCCUCCUAAAGAGUAACGGAGGAGCACGAAGGUUGGCUAAUCCUGGUCGGACAUCAGGAGGUUAGUGCAAUGGCAUAAGCCAGCUUGACUGCGAGCGUGACGGCGCGAGCAGGUGCGAAAGCAGGUCAUAGUGAUCCGGUGGUUCUGAAUGGAAGGGCCAUCGCUCAACGGAUAAAAGGUACUCCGGGGAUAACAGGCUGAUACCGCCCAAGAGUUCAUAUCGACGGCGGUGUUUGGCACCUCGAUGUCGGCUCAUCACAUCCUGGGGCUGAAGUAGGUCCCAAGGGUAUGGCUGUUCGCCAUUUAAAGUGGUACGCGAGCUGGGUUUAGAACGUCGUGAGACAGUUCGGUCCCUAUCUGCCGUGGGCGCUGGAGAACUGAGGGGGGCUGCUCCUAGUACGAGAGGACCGGAGUGGACGCAUCACUGGUGUUCGGGUUGUCAUGCCAAUGGCACUGCCCGGUAGCUAAAUGCGGAAGAGAUAAGUGCUGAAAGCAUCUAAGCACGAAACUUGCCCCGAGAUGAGUUCUCCCUGAG